CGUCGCUGUCGCGCGCGCUG
rnacentral:miRNA from 1 species